UUGAAGUCUUCAGCUUAUACAUUUUUAAUCCAAUUCUCUCAAACCAGCUGCAGAGUUCAUGGGCAGGAUACUAUGACUACAACACCUUUGACCAGAAUGGUAUAGUUGGACUUCAUCCAAUGUUUUCCAACCUGUUUCUUGCUGCUGGCUUUAGUGGACAUGGUAUACAGCAAGCUGCGGGUGUUGGGCGAGCAGUAAUGGAGAGCAUUCUUCAUGGAGAGUACAUGACAAUAAAUUUGGAACGUUUUGCAUUCGAAAGAAUCCUCAUGAACGAGCCUCUUCUUGAACGCUAUAUUGUGUGAAAUUUGAAAAAAAUGUUUAAAAGGAGAUUUAAAAUAGGUAGUUGCAUUUAGCAUAUUGUUACUGUUAAUAUUUACACUUAAUUUUUUAGGAGUAGCUAAAUUUAGUUGAGAGAAGCUGUUCUUGUAUACAUUCAAUAUUUAUUGAUAGAAAUUUUUUUGACAGAAUUUUUUUUAUAGUGUAAUCGGUGUCUCGUCCUCAAGAAGUUACUUUUUCCAUAGUCUAACCAGAGUUCCAUGGUGACUAGACUAAUGUCAAAGAAUUCUCUUUUAGCUGGUCUUGUGUUGUCAUGAUAAACAUUGGAACAUGUGAUAGAGUAUAAAUGGACUCAGGAUAAGAGGACACUUUUUUUUUUAUCCCUAGCGAAUGCUGAACCGAGUUUACCUAUGUCAAAACCUGCAAGAAGUGGCUAUGAACAUAUGCGCUGUCAUAUUAUUUACAUAUGACCAGAAAUGGACCAAAAAGCCAUUGCUUAUUCUGGUCAUCAAUGUAAAGUGUACUGGAACAGCACUCCGUGAUUUAAGACAGUGGCAGAACUAGAAAUCUUUCAUAGGGGGCACUUCAAGUUUUUUUUAUAGAGAUUAUAAUCAGGAAGAUUGCUACAUUGUUUCUAACAGCUGUAGCUUACAAAGAAGUAGCAGGUGAAAUUGCUUUGGAAAAUACAAACAUUAAUACAUGCAUAAAGAAAAAACAAAUGAUAUAAUUUUAUUUUCAGUUUCUAUCAAUACUCAACUUGUGUGCAGUGAGUACUGCAUAUCAAAUUUUAAUUAUCCAUGGGGGGGCACAUGACCAGGUUCCCCCCCUUAAAUCCAUCUCUGAUUUAAGAUCUUCAGUUUUGUGAUUUCAU